GUCGACUCGGAAUUGGUACGGACUGGGGGAAUCCAACUGUCUAAUUAAAACAGAGCAUCGCGUAGCCGGCCGAGCCGCACAGACGCGAUGUGAUUUCUGCCCAAUGCUCUGAAUAGCUGUCGUGUAGGGAGA